rnacentral:lncRNA from 10 species
CAGGACGUCACUGAAUCCUGGGGGCAGGUUUUCCUGUGCUGUUCUUGUGAUAGUGAAUAAGUCUCACAAGACCUGAUGGUUUUAUAAAGGUCAGUUCCCCUGCAUGCAUUCUCUUGCCGCCACCAUGUAAGAUGUGUCUUUGCUUCUCUUUUGCCUUCUGCCAUGAUUAGGAGGUCUCCGCAGCCAUGUGGAACUGUCUUCAAGAAUGUCCGUUUAAAACACAAGAGAAGGAAGGUUUCAUCUUAAAUGAUGAUUGGCAGACAGUAGAGACCAGAACAAACCUUUGAGGAUUUGGAUACAGAGUAAACCUGAAGAGUUGAAUUUCUAAUUUUCUACCGUAGCACUGCAAGGUAAUUGAAUGCAAGAGAAGGCACAACAAUACAAACAAGUAAAAUUAAUGGACACACAUAUAAGUACUGAAUUGACAAGUGCUGUGAGACAAGACAAAGGAGUGCUGAGAUACAGAAUAAUAAAGAAGACUUAUUAUUACAGGUUUGCCAGAAGAGGUGUCUCUGAGGGGGUGACAUUGAAGCAGAUACAUGAAAGAUGAGAAUACAGCUAUGCAAAAAGCCAGGGAAGGGCAGUCCAGACAGAAGAAACAGUAUGUAGAAAUGACACUGAGGCCAGGUGUGCUGCUCUUGCCUGUAUUCCAGCUACUCAGGAGUCUGAGGUGGGCGGAUUGCUUCAGCCCAGAGUUUCAGCCCAGCCUGGGCAACAGAGUGAGACCCUGUCUCUAAAGAAAUAAAACAAAAGAAACAGCACUGAGAUGGAUCAAGACACAGAGAAGAAAUGGGGCCUGGCAAGAAGCACUGUACUCUGUGUAUAUGUGAGAGCAGGAAAUACUUUUUAUUAAAUUCAUUUAUAUAUAUAUAUAUUUUAUUAUACUUUAAGCUCUAGGGUACAUGUGCACAACGUGCAGGUUU